GUACAGUCUCCUGAUAGUCUCCUGGAGUAUGAAGGCCAGCCUGGUGCUACAUGUGUUUCUUGUGGGACUUUGCCAGGCUCAUCCUCCACCAGACAGGACGAAGCAGACAGAUGGGGUCCCCGUGUCCCAGCUCAGGAUGCUCUCGCUGGGACUGGCUCGCCUCCUGCAUGGGGUAGCGGAGACCGCUGCGCAGAUGGAGCGGCAGGCAGAGCACGUGUUGGCAGGGCUGGACCGAGCCACAAAUAGUCUAGAAAGUCUGCGCAAGCAAAGUUUACAAGCUGGACGGACUCACAAGCAGGUGAGGACGGACCUUCAGAUCUUCAGCGCGAAGGGGGACAGUCUGCAGAGAACGGUCAGAGACCUGCAGGAGAGGCUGGAGGACCUGGAGAAGGAGCAGGGAACCAUGCAGUACUGGACCAACUGGAUCCAUGACAAAGUGAGGAGCCUGACUCAGCCUGGUUCAGCAGCUCAGGCUCAGAUCAACACAAACUCUAUAAAGGUGCGCGGGCCAAGACCCUCCACAGUCAAACCAGCGUCACAACAGCACAAGUGGAUUCAAAACUGACUGUACGCCUCUUUGUUUUGCUGUAGAAUAUCAUGGAUAAACAGGCCAAGUGGCUUGACAGCCUGACCUCUGAGGUGUCAGCGCGAGACAGACUGAUCAACAGGCGCCUGCGGCUCAUCAAGCAACUGGAAAAACGGGUAGACUAUCACUCCAGACAGUCAUCUGUUUAAUGGACAACAAGGAAAUAACUAGGUUCCCCCUAGGUUACUAUCCAUGACUGCUGUCAUUACUACUGCAGUAGUAGUACAGUAGCAGUUAGAGUUGUGGAUGCCGAGCACAGGGCAAUCUUUGAUUUCCACAGUGAAAUGGUUUAGGAAACUUUGUGUUUUGUAAUGUUGUCAAAAAGGUCAUUUUUGCUGUAGGAAAAUCAUCACCAACGUUUAUGAUAAUAUUCCGCUUGUAAAAGGUUUUCAGCUGAUAUAAACAUAAGAGGUGUCUACUGGUAAGUUCAAAUAGUCCAUUUUGUGACAUUUUUGGACUAUGAUUAAAAAUAUGUUUCUAAGCAAAAGCAAGUUCAACAAGCUGGUUUUCACAAACAACAUUUUUCCUUAAAAUGUUGCGAUGCAGUAGUUUUGGUUUGGAUCCUGCAUCCGUCAGUCAUAUUGUACAUUACUCCUACAGUUUCUGGACAAACAUUAUUGGCUUUGUAAAUUUCCCACGUGUUUGUGUGAGUUUGUUCAAAGUUUCUACCAGCUCAGAGGACAGACGUGUCCGAUGAGACCAGCUGCACCAACACAGUCACAAUAAACAACUGUGGAUCUACUAAAAAGAAAUAGUU
rnacentral:lncRNA from 1 species